UACGUAGGGUGCAAGCGUUGUCCGGAAUUAUUGGGCGUAAAGAGCUCGUAGGCGGUCUGUCGCGUCGGCUGUGAAAACCCGAGGCUCAACCUCGGGCCUGCAGUCGAUACGGGCAAACUAGAGUGUUGCAGGGGAGACUGGAAUUCCUGGUGUAGCGGUGAAAUGCGCAGAUAUCAGGAGGAACACCGGUGGCGAAGGCGGGUCUCUGGGCCACACCUGACGCUGAGACGCGAAAGCGUGGGGAGCGAACAGG
rnacentral:rRNA from 1 species